rnacentral:rRNA from 1 species
UACGUAGGGUGCGAGCGUUACUCGGAAUUACUGGGCGUAAAGCGUGCGUAGGUGGUUCGUUGUGUCUGUGGUGAAAGCCCCGGGCUUAACCUGGGAAUGGCCAUGGAAACUGGCGAGCUGGAGUCUGGCAGAGGGGGGUGGAAUUCCGCGUGUAGCAGUGAAAUGCGUAGAGAUGCGGAGGAACACCGAUGGCGAAGGCAGCCCCCUGGGCUAAGACUGACGCUGAGGCACGAAAGCGUGGGGAGCAAACAGG